GUCCUGGCCAUAAACUGUGAACACUAGGUGUCGGGGGUAUCGACCCCCUCGGUGCCGGAGCUAACGCGUUAAGUGUUCCGCCUGGGGAGUACGAUCGCAAGAUUGAAACUCAAAGGAAUUGACGGGGGCCCGCACAAGCGGUGGAGUAUGUGGUUUAAUUCGACGCAACGCGAAGAACCUUACCAAGGCUUAAACUGCAGGGUAAACCCUCCGAAAGGAGGGCUGCUUCGGCGAUCCUGUAGAGGUGCUGCAUGGCUGUCGU
rnacentral:rRNA from 1 species